GCCGGCCGGGGCCGCGGAGGCGGCGGGGAGCUCACCGCAAAGCUGGAGGCUGGAGGCUGAAAGCUGCGUCCGCGGGCGCGCGAGGAGCCGAGGCAGCGAGCGAGCUCUCUGCGGCGGCGGUGGACGCUGCUGAAGGAGCCUGCCCUGGAGAAGCCUCUGCCCGGUGCUUGGAGACGUGCCCCUCUGGCCUCUGCCUGGACCUUGGAGGGCACCGGCCGCUGAGGCUCAGACCUUGCACUGGGCUCCAGGAGGGACCCCGGCUCAGCGUCAGCCCUGGCUAGAAGCGAGGGACCAAGGACCCAGCCGGAACCACCAGGACCCGACGACAGCUCAAGCCACCCAAGGCACAAAGGCGCCACAAACCACUGUUCCAUAAACCAAAGCCAAAAUCCUUGUCCUCCCCUUCUCCCAUGGCUGCUCCCUCCUCCUCCCUUGCCCUUCUUUGGCCAGGAGCUCCCCUCCAAGGACCCCCAGAGGAGCCCAGACUGCAAGGAGCGGCUGUGCCCACACCUGAGCGACCCAGGGACCGACACCCGGAGCGGAGCAGACCAGACCCCCUGAAUCACAGAUGCCCACGGUGUGACUCUGAAUGCGCCCCAGCUUCCCUGGGCCUGGUGGGGGGGUUGCUCCGUGAACCUAAGGAAAGGAGGCCUCUGCCGGGAGCUGACACUUGGAGAACGAAGCCAGCGGACACCUCAGCCCUGCCCUGGGGGUCUGAAGACACUCACCUCUGUGGGGCUGGGGCUGGCUGCGGGCCUCAGUUCUGAGCGCGCGGCGACCGCCUGGGCCACAGGCCACAGCAGCUCACCUCCGGGCUGGGUUCUCUGGCGGCUCUGGCCGGCUGCGGGUCGGGCAGUGACUGGGGCUGCGGCUCCGGCUGGGGGGCAGCCUGGGCAGGGGGCUCUGCUGGAUGAGAUGCAGGGCCUCGGGGCUUGGGAUCCACCUCCUCCUCAAGGAGCUCUGCAGUGACUCUUCGGCCCCUGGGGAAAAUACAAAGGUGUUCCUGAGAUGAGCACUUUUAAAACAAACCUCCCCCAAGCCAGAGCAUCGUCCCUUCCUCCCUGUCCCCUGGCUGUUCGGUGGGAAGGCCUGCAGGUCACCUUGCCAGGGUUUUGGGUGGCAGCUCCCCUUCCUGUCCCUCUGGCUGCCUAGCUCCCCCUUUUUCAAAGGACAAGGGAAGAGGAAAGUGGCCCACAGUUCACCUAGAGCUGGGCUUCCCAGGAGCCAAGCCUGCAAAGGUGCCUGCCCAUGAAGAGGCAAGAGACCCUUCUGUUGGGUGGGCUGUCCCUUCCUGGCUGGUGUGGACUUCUGCCUGGGCAUGGGGUGGGGGCUGCACACAAAAGGCUUGCCUUGGGGGAUCACAGCACACUAUAUGACACCCCCACCCACUCCAACAUUCCCACCUUGGGUGGAAGCAAGGAGGGGGCCAGGUAUAAACCAAAGGACACAGUUCCGUAUGAAGAAAUCAGCUGGAUGGCAGCCUUGGGAUGGGACACUGGGCUUCCCUUGGGAAAUGAAACCUGUCACCACAGACACCACAUUGGCUGUAUGGAGAAGUCUGGGACCCCCGGGUGGAAGGGAGAGAAACUUCAUGUGCAGAAUUAUGCACACCCCUGGGAAAUUGCCCUUGCCCCAGCACACGGUUCUGUGGGCAGGAGAGGCACCAGGAGAACCCGGCAGGCCUUCAGGGAGAGAGGAGCUUUACUCUUUCAGUCCUGCUGUGGGGGUACCAAGGUGUAUGGCCCUUCAUUGUCCUCCUCCUCAAUCUCCUUUCCAAUUACUUAGUGGGAUUCUUUGGUUAUG